AAAUUACUCCCUCCGUCCCAAAAUUCUUGUCUUAGAUUUGUCUAGAUACGGAUGUAUCUAGAUACAUCCGUAUCUAGAUAAAUCUAAGACAAGAAAUUUGGGACAGAGGGAUUAGUUG
rnacentral:pre_miRNA from 1 species